CCGAUAACCGGAAGUGGUACUUUUCCUUCUUUGAAUUUUUCAAAAGCCUAUAACUUGAGUACUAUUUCAGAUAGAUAAAUGAAAUUUCACUUGUAAGUAAAAGAUCUAAUUCUCUACCUUCUGUUAAAUUUUGAGUAAUUUCCGUUGACCGGAAGUAGUAAUUUACGCUACUUCCGAUUUCUCAAAAAACUAAUGUAAAUUUUAAAAGUACUAAUAAUAUUGCGCACUAUUAUGCGCUUUUUGAUUUGGCGUUCACUUGGUGUGCAAUUAAUUUGUCUACGAGAUUUUAUUCUAUUUUUAAAACUUUAAGUAUUUAAAAUGGAUUAAAAAUCAUGUCUAUAGAACUUGUAAGUUUAUCGUUCUUUCUCGCGUUAAUUCGUGUCUGGUUAGCCAGGGAGAGAUAAAAGUUUUCGAACUAAAUCAAUUGUUGUGAACGGGGUUUCCCAUUGAUAACAAAAAACAUGGCGGCUAUUUGUUAGUAGGUCCCGCUUCAAGAUUUCAAAAUCAUCAAACGUUCCAGAAAUGCAACAACUGUAAAAACUUUCAACGCUGUUUUGUUCAUAUGGAUGGGAACAAACACAUGUGUAUGCAUUUUUGAAUAUAAAAGUUUUGUGGCGGUACUUGGCAAGCAGUUUUCUCACACUUUACUGUGGCUAUUGGUGCUGAUCUUGAACUAAAGGUAAAUGGAACAGCAUGGAUGUGGAUUUUUAGACACAAGGAAGCUGAAUUUAACUUUUAAUGAAGAAUUUAAAUGAUGAUUGUCCAUGAAAAGAAAUAUUAAUCAUAUACAUUGUAAUGCUGUAUUGAUGCAUCUUCUGUUUUAAGUAAUUAAAAAACCAUCCAUUUAUGAAAUUCU